GAGGGUGUAAGCUCAGCAAAGAGCGCGUGCCUAGCAUGCACAAGGUCCAGGGUUCAAUCCCCAGUACCUCCA
rnacentral:tRNA from 1 species